AACGUAGGAGACAAACGUUAUCCGGAGUUACUGGGCGUAAAGCGCGUGUAGGCGGCCAGAUAGGUUUGCUGUGAAAACUCGAGGCUCAACCUCGAGAUGUCGGCGGAAACCGUCUGGCUAGAGUCCGGAAGAGGAGAGUGGAAUUCCUGGUGUAGCGGUGAAAUGCGCAGAUAUCAGGAAGAACACCUAUGGCGAAGGCAGCUCUCUGGGACGGUACUGACGCUGAGGCGCGAAAAGCUAGGGGAGCGAACAGG
rnacentral:rRNA from 1 species